AACGAACGCUGGCGGCGCGUCUUAAGCAUGCAAGUCGAACGGCAAGAAAGAAGCUUGCUUCUUUCCUAGAGUGGCGGACUGGUGAGUAACGCGUGGGUAAUCUGCCUUUAAGAUGGGGAUAGCCGCUAGAAAUAGCGGAUAAUACCGAAUACACUUCAAGCUUCAAAAGGAGCAUGAAGGAAAGGAAGCUAAGGCUUCGCUUAAAGAUGAGCCUGCGUCCCAUUAGCUAGUUGGUAAGGUAACGGCCUACCAAGGCGACGAUGGGUAUCCGGCCUGAGAGGGUGAUCGGACACAUUGGGACUGAGAUACGGCCCAAACUCCUACGGGAGGCAGCAGCUAAGAAUAUUCCGCAAUGGACGGAAGUCUGACGGAGCGACGCCGCGUGGAUGAAGAAGGCUGAAAAGUUGUAAAAUCCUUUUUUUGAUGAAGAAUAAGGGGAAGAGGGAAUGCUUCUCUGAUGACGGUAAUCGGCGAAUAAGCCCCGGCUAAUUACGUGCCAGCAGCCGCGGUAACACGUAAGGGGCGAGCGUUGUUCGGAAUUAUUGGGCGUAAAGGGCAUGUAGGCGGUUGUAUAAGCCUGAUGUGAAAUCCUGAGGCUUAACCUCAGAAUAGCAUUGGGUACUGUAUAGCUUGAAUUACGGAAGGGAAACUGGAAUUCCAAGUGUAGGGGUGGAAUCUGUAGAUAUUUGGAAGAACACCGGUGGCGAAGGCGGGUUUCUGGCCGAUAAUUGACGCUGAGAUGCGAAAGUGUGGGGAUCGAACAGG
rnacentral:rRNA from 1 species